AGCUUUGUGCAGUAGCAGUAUUGUAGCCAAUGAGGUUUAUCCAAGGCACGAUUAUUGCUAAUUGAAAACUAUUGUAGGAAAUUUUAAGUAGACAUUUAACAGUGUGAUUCCAUAUUAUCACUAACAAUUAGGAAAGUGCAAACCAA
ensembl:snRNA LOC120101128 U4 spliceosomal RNA